rnacentral:rRNA from 1 species
GAUGAACGCUGGCGGCGUGCCUAAUACAUGCAAGUCGAGCGAACAGAUGAGAAGCUUGCUUCUCUGAUGUUAGCGGCGGACGGGUGAGUAACACGUGGAUAACCUACCUAUAAGACUGGGAUAACUUCGGGAAACCGGAGCUAAUACCGGAUAAUAUUUUGAACCGCAUGGUUCGAAAGUGAAAGACGGUCUUGCUGUCACUUAUAGAUGGAUCCGCGCUGCAUUAGCUAGUUGGUAAGGUAACGGCUUACCAAGGCAACGAUGCAUAGCCGACCUGAGAGGGUGAUCGGCCACACUGGAACUGAGACACGGUCCAGACUCCUACGGGAGGCAGCAGUAGGGAAUCUUCCGCAAUGGGCGAAAGCCUGACGGAGCAACGCCGCGUGAGUGAUGAAGGUCUUCGGAUCGUAAAACUCUGUUAUUAGGGAAGAACAUAUGUGUAAGUAACUGUGCACAUCUUGACGGUACCUAAUCAGAAAGCCACGGCUAACUACGUG